rnacentral:rRNA from 1 species
AACGAACGCCGGCGGCAUGCCUAGCACAUGCAAGUCGAACGAGACCUUCGGGUCUAGUGGCGCACGGGUGCGUAACGCGUGGGAACCUGCCCUUAGGUUCGGAAUAACUCCCCGAAAGGGGUGCUAAUACCGGAUAAUGUCUUCGGACCAAAGAUUUAUCGCCUUUGGAUGGGCCCGCGUUGGAUUAGCUAGUUGGUAGGGUAAAAGCCUACCAAGGCGACGAUCCAUAGCUGGUCUGAGAGGAUGAUCAGCCACACUGGGACUGAGACACGGCCCAGACUCCUACGGGAGGCAGCAGUGGGGAAUAUUGGACAAUGGGCGAAAGCCUGAUCCAGCAAUGCCGCGUGAGUGAUGAAGGCCUUAGGGUUGUAAAGCUCUUUUACCCGGGAUGAUAAUGACAGUACCGGGAGAAUAAGCUCCGGCUAACUCCGUG